CCGUCUGUCAUCGUAUAAGAAGUAGAGGGGUUUGUCAGAAGAACUGUAGUUCAGAGUUCCAGCAGGACAGAAUGGAGUCCACCUUGAUCUGUGUGUUACUCUUGCUGAAUACAUACAUCAACUCUGGACACUCUGAAGAUGAUGAUGGAGUGUCGAAGGCUGUUCUGACCAUACACCCCAACAGCUCCCAGAUAUUCAGUGGAGAGUCUGUCACUCUCAGAUGUGACAUACAGGGGGGAGGAGUCACUGACUAGAAAUACACAUGGAGAACACCCAGUCCAGAUCAAUGCCUCCGUUCUUAUAACCACUUGAAAGUGGGCCUCAUUUAAAGGAUGCUGUUUAGUUGUUUUAAAAACAUAUGUUGUAUGUUUCUGCAGCUCUGCUCAAAGCUACACUGACUGUACAACCAAACCCUGUGUUCCCUGGAGAGACAGACGUUUUCAGAGUAACUGAUUCUGACAGUAUCUGGAACUAUCAGUGGUACAAAGACAGGAAUUAAAUUCCUCUGUUUUAAUACCCAAUUAAAAUUAAUCACUCUGUCAAUUCAUAA